UCACCUUUAUUCUCUUUCUCUAUUUUCUCUUCGAAUUCAUCCAUGGAAUUUUGGUUUUCUGUGCUUUAAUUCAUAAAAAUCAAUUCUUUACCUACAUAUGGAAUCGUGUAUGAUAAGAACUCACUAUUAGGAACACUACUAUAUAGAUACAAACAAUAUUUGUGAAUAACAGUAUACAACGAGAAUCGAAUAUGCAAAAUUAGAUAUCCUUUUAGGAUAGGGGUUAAUUUUAUACCACUAUUCAUUUCAAGCUGCAUGGAGCCGAUUUCAGUCACCAAGAGACUGCAACUUCUGCCUUGCAAUCAAUUCUUCAGGAGGAUUUUAAGGCUACCGAGAUUGAGGUAGUAAUGUUUAUUUUGCUAAAUAUUUCAUUGUUUCAUUAUGACAGAUUGGCAACUUGAAAUGCGUUAUGAUGUAUUACAACACAGUUAAGUUGAAACUAAAUAUUUUUUGCAACUUUUGAUAUUCAAUGUUUUUUCAUUUGGAUUUCCAUUUAGAAUUUAUAUUGGUUUGAUAUGGUAAUGUUAAACUUGGAAGUCUCGUAUCUAAUUGAUUCUAUUUUGUAUAAGCUUGAUAUGAAGGCAAUAUAGUCUAAAUUUCUAUUUAUUUAUUACUUGAACUAGAUGAGUUAUAUCUAAGAAUCACCCUUUACCAAGUUGGUAAUGGCACCUAAAAUAACUUUUAAGUGAUAGCUCAAACAAGGAUGCUUUUGACAAUUUACUAAUUGUCUAAAAAUAUUUUUCAGCCAUAUUUAAUGAAAAAAGAAAAAGAAAAAAAAUAUUUAUUCAAUUGAGUUUAUUUAAGUGUGUUUUAGGUGAAAGUUUAUUUGAGAUUGCUGAUUGUUUAGGAAGCCUUGAACAACAUAAUCUUUGUACAUAUAUCAAUAGAGAUUAUACUGAGAUUUUUUUUCUUCGUAAAAUGAGUUAAUCAAAGUCCAAGGCUUUGUUUAGAUUUAUGGUUGAAUGUUAUAGUAGUAGUUUUCGACUUGUAGUCUAGUAUUUUGUUUAAUAGAGUGGUAGUAGCAAAAGUAGAAGCAUAAAAAAGAGGCUGAACUUGCAUGAGACAAGUUGUUUCUUCCAUGUCUCUUAAAAAUAAUAAUAAAAAAAAUCCCAAAUUAACAGCCCUUUCGCUUCUUCUUUACUUGUAUAUAAUUUAUUUUUCUUAUAGAAUGCAUUGGGUGUGUGCUAUAUUGGUACCUGAGACAUACCACGUAUAUUACUUGGACCCCGUUAAUGCACCCAUAACAAAUUAUCCUGUAAUUCUGAAAACGAUCAAGGAAGCAUAUGGCACAGACUGAGAAGGAGCAUGGAGAUCCCAAAAAAUUUAAGUAUCAAAGAGCACCUAGUAAGUAUAUAUAAAUUUUAAUGAUAAUUUAAGGUUUUAAUAAAUUAUUAAUGUAAAUAUUUAAAUUACAAAUUAUUGUAGUGUCCUCACCAACUAACUAAGUAAUGUAGAGUGUGGCUACUAUGCUAUGAGAAUGAUGAAAGAUCUAGUUAAGUCGCCUAAUCAAUGUGACUAUAUAAAAAAAGAGCUAAUAGACAAAAAGUCAUAUUCAAAAGCUAUGAUGGACGAGAUGAGGAAAGAGUGGACGACACAUUUGCUUCAACACUUACAGAAUCAUUACAUUAUGGGUCAUUAGUUAAGCAUUUUUUUUUUAAAAAAUAUUAUUUAGGACAAAUAUUUAGCUAAUAAUAUCAGUUAAAUAUAUAUUUUUUUUCUUUAAUACAAUAUUUGUUAAUUUCGUUAUGUAUAUAUAUUUAACAAAUAUUAUAAAUUUUGAGAUAUUUAUAAUAGUUUAAAAUUUGUAUUC